AAACCAUAAUUGGGAUAUUUUCACAAUAACAUCUGAAAACGCUCCCAGGCUUCAUAAAAUGCUUCGUCUGCAUCUUGUCAAAAAGUUGAUAUCUCAAACUUGGCAU
rnacentral:snoRNA from 1 species